rnacentral:rRNA from 1 species
ACAAAGGGCAGCAAGUUCGCGAGGACAAGCAAAUCCCAUAAACCGUGGCUCAGUUCAGAUCGUAGGCUGCAACUCGCCUACGUGAAGGAGGAAUCGCUAGUAAUCGCAGGUCAGCAUACUGCGGUGAAUACGUUCCCGGGCCUUGUACACACCGCCCGUCACACCAUGGAAGUUGGCCACGCCCGAAGCCGUUACUCCAACCCUUGUGGAGGAGGACGUCGAAGGUGGGGCUGACGACUGGGGUGAAGUCGUAACAAGGUAUCCGUACCGGAAGGUGCGGAUGGAUCACCUCCUAAC